GCCAAUUUGGCUCAGUGGAUAGAGCAUCAGCCCAUGGACUGAAGGGUCCGGGUUCGAUCCCGGUCAAGGGGCA
rfam:Myotis brandtii contig296639, whole genome shotgun sequence.